ACGUAGGGGGCGAGCGUUGUCCGGAGUUACUGGGCGUAAAGCGCACGCAGGCGGUCCUGCGCGUUCGUGGUCACAGCUCCCGGCUUCACUGGGAGAGCGUCACGAAAACGGCAGGACUUGAGGACUCAAGAGGGAACGGGAACUCCUGGUGGAGCGGUGAAAUGCGUAGAGAUCAGGAAGAACACCAAAGGCGAAGGCACGUUCCUGGGGAGUGACUGACGCUGAUGUGCGAGAGCUAGGGGAGCAAACGGGAUUAGAUACCCCGGUAGUCCUAGCCGUAAACGAUGACCACCAGGUGUAGGAGGUAUCGACCCCUUCUGUGCCGGCGCUAACGCUUUGAGUGGUCCGCCUGGGGAGUACGGUCGCAAGAUUA
rnacentral:rRNA from 1 species